rnacentral:misc_RNA from 1 species
AACGCACAUUGCGCCCUUUGGCAUUCCGAAGGGCAUGCCUGUUCGAGCGUCAUUUCAACGUUCCAGCCUGGCUGGGUGUUGGGCGUCUUGGUCCCGCCGUUGCGUGCGGACCCGCCUCAAAACAAUCGGCGUCUAUAUGGUUGGCCUGAUGCGUAGCACACCUCGCAAACCAGGCACGCCUAUAGGCCGCCGGAAAGCAACAUUUUUUUGUUUGACCUCGGAUCAGGUAGGGAUACCCGCUGAACUUAA